UCUCAGAGUUUAUAUCCUGCUAUCAUUCUUGCACAGAAGUAAAUGAUCAAGUAACCUAGAAAUUAUUACUUGACAUCAUUCUACACUCCAAGAUGUAGAUGCACUCACAUUUUCCUGGAAAUUCCAGCUACAAUUCGAGUCUCUCUUCUCUGGUUUAUAAGGCAAAAGAUAUGACUAUGAACAGCUCUGAAAAGAUAUCAGAAAGCACACUGCCAUCCAAAGAGGGAGCUUUGGAUGGAGAUGAUGAGGACUGGCCCCAAAUCACCACCACCAGCAGUAGCCAACCCUAUCAUUGGCAACCUUGUGGAAGACCUCCGACUUUAAACACCCACAGCUGACCUAGAAGUCAUAGUCUUACAGGUCUUGGAUCUUUCUUAUCUAUCCCCCCUUUCACAUCACAAUAUUUCUGCAGGCCUCCAUCAACCAUUUGUCUCCGAUCAGUGGACUCGAGAUCACUUCAUUCAACCUUGGAUUGUCUUGAGUACCUCGAACUGUGUUCUUCGUGCUCACUCAUGCUAAAAGUAUCAAUCUCUGUGUCACUUUAGAACAGAGUUUGCUGCUGUAAUCUACAGUCUUUCAUGCUACCAAGAAAUGAGUGCUUCAGAAGUUCAAAGGAUUUCAUGAAGGCUGCCCUCAAAGGCUAUCAUAAGAGAGUUCAAAGAAAGAGAAAAAGCAAUAGCAUCAUGUAGCAAGAUGAAAUCAGCAUCUGCAUGGAGUUUCACAUCUGCAUCCUGCUUGUGACCAUUAAGAUGAAGGGUUUUCUUGUUUGGGAUAGCUCCAUUCAUGCAGAUGAAUAUAACAGGGAUCUGAAUCAUACA